GUAGCUGCAGUAAAAAAAAAACUCCCAGAAGAAGAAGUGAACGCGGAAAGAAGGAAGCAGACGAGGAGGGAGAACGAGUUGAUCCCAGGCCGCGACCUGCCUCCGACAAAAGGUUACAUAACUCCGAACAAAGUACAGCUCAUCUCCGCUCUGUGCGACCUGCCGACACGGAGCCGUCGAGACGAGUCUCCCCCGCUGCUGCACACCUGCGACAUUUUGACUGUGGGACGUCAGCUCGUCACUUUCAAAAGGAUCAUCAUGGCUGAUGAUUUUGAUGUUGAGGCCAUGCUGGAGGCUCCAUACAGAAAGACUUCCCUAAUGAUAUCUCACCUCUACUCCCAUGAAUUCAUCUUUGAUUCCACUGUGAACUGUGAAAAAAAGGAAGGUAGUUAUUGUGCAUAUACUGAUGUACUGUGGUUCACCUUAGGACUAAAAGAGAUUCAACCUAGAACAUCCAAUCCCUAUUCGGUUUCAACAAGGUGAAUGCCAAUGGUUGAUAAGCCCAUCUUUACCUUACCAGCAAAGGAGGCAGUAUUCAGAUUUACUAUCUGCAUGCCAAUACUGGCUCUGGAUGUUCAGGCAUUUUAUGGUCAGAUUUAAAUCAUUAUCUUGAAAAAAAAGGUCCUGCAGUGUACGGCUACAACAAGAAGAGGUAAUUCAACUUUGACCAAAAAGAACCAUAAAAUGUGUUAGAUUAAGUUUUAUUACUAUUAUUGUCAAUAUGUUUGAAAAUGAAAAGAUAGCUCUCUCAGAUGUCAUAAUUACACGGAUAAGUAACAUGCAUCACUUUCUCUUGCUUGUAAAUAUGAAUACUGCCUCCUUGCCUUAGUCAAGUUUAUUGUGAAUAAGCAUCUUGAUUUUUUGCAUGCUAC